UGGGGAAUAUUGCACAAUGGGCGCAAGCCUGAUGCAGCCAUGCCGCGUGUGUGAAGAAGGCCUUCGGGUUGUAAAGCACUUUCAGCGGGGAGGAAGGCGGUGAGGUUAAUAACCUCAUCGAUUGACGUUACCCGCAGAAGAAGCACCGGCUAACUCCGUGCCAGCAGCCGCGGUAAUACGGAGGGUGCAAGCGUUAAUCGGAAUUACUGGGCGUAAAGCGCACGCAGGCGGUUUGUUAAGUCAGAUGUGAAAUCCCCGGGCUCAACCUGGGAACUGCAUCUGAUACUGGGAAGCUUGAGUCUCGUAGAGGGGGGUAGAAUUCCAUGUGUAGCGGUGAAAUGCGUAGAGAUGUGGAGGAAUACCGGUGGCGAAGGCGGCCACCUGGACAAAGACUGACGCUCAGGUGCGAAAGCGUGGGGAGCAAACAGG
rnacentral:rRNA from 1 species